AUUGAACGCUGGCGGCAUGCCUUACACAUGCAAGUCGAACGGCAGCACGGGGGCAACCCUGGUGGCGAGUGGCGAACGGGUGAGUAAAGCAUCGGAACGUACCCGGAAGUGGGGGAUAACGUAGCGAAAGUUACGCUAAUACCGCAUAUUCUGUGAGCAGGAAAGCAGGGGAUCGCAAGACCUUGCGCUUUCGGAGCGGCCGAUGUCGGAUUAGCUAGUUGGUGGGGUAAAGGCCUACCAAGGCGACGAUCCGUAGCGGGUCUGAGAGGAUGAUCCGCCACACUGGGACUGAGACACGGCCCAGACUCCUACGGGAGGCAGCAGUGGGGAAUUUUGGACAAUGGGCGAAAGCCUGAUCCAGCCAUGCCGCGUGAGUGAAGAAGGCCUUCGGGUUGUAAAGCUCUUUCGGCGGGGAAGAAAUCGCACUUACUAAUACUGAGUGUGGAUGACGGUACCCGAAUAAGAAGCACCGGCUAACUACGUGCCAGCAGCCGCGGUAACAC
rnacentral:rRNA from 1 species